CCUACGGGGGGCUGCAGUGGGGAAUAUUGCACAAUGGGCGAAAGCCUGAUGCAGCAACGCCGCGUGAAGGAAGAAGGCUUUCGGUUUGUAAACUUCUGUCCUUGGGGAAGAAGAUCUGACGGUACCCAAGGAGGAAGCCCCGGCUAACUACGCGCCAGCAGCCGCGGUAAUACGGAGGGUGCAAGCGUUACUCGGAAUCACUGGGCGUAAAGAGCGCGUAGGCGGGAUAGCAAGUCAGAUGUGAAAUCCGAUGGCUUAACCAUAGGACUGCAUUUGAAACUGUUAUUCUAGAGUAUGGGAGAGGUAGGUGGAAUUCUUGGUGUAGGGGUAAAAUGCGUAGAGAUCAAGAGGAAUACUCAUUGCGAAGGCGACCUGCUAGAACAUAACUGACGCUGAUGCGCUAAAGCGUGGGGAGCAAACAGGAUUAGAUACCCUUGUAGUC
rnacentral:rRNA from 1 species